rnacentral:rRNA from 1 species
CUACGGGGUGCAGCAGUGAGGAAUAUUGCACAAUGGGGGGAACCCUGAUGCAGCAACGCCGCGUGGAGGAUGACGCAUUUCGGUGUGUAAACUCCUUUUAUAUGUCAAGAAAAUGACGGUAGCAUAUGAAUAAGCGCCGGCUAACUCCGUGCCAGCAGCCGCGGUAAUACGGAGGGCGCAAGCGUUACUCGGAAUCACUGGGCGUAAAGGACGCGUAGGCGGGUUGAAAAGUCAGGUGUGAAAGCCUACAGCUUAACUGUAGAACUGCACUUGAAACUCUCAAUCUAGAGUAUGGGAGGGGCAGAUGGAAUUAGUGGUGUAGGGGUAAAAUCCGUAGAUAUCACUAGGAAUACCUAAAGCGAAGGCGAUCUGCUGGAACAUUACUGACGCUAAGGCGUGAAAGCGUGGGGAGCAAACAGGAUUAGAUACCCGCGUAGUC